rnacentral:rRNA from 1 species
UACAGAGGGUGCAAGCGUUAAUCGGAUUUACUGGGCGUAAAGGGCGCGUAGGUGGUAAGGCAAGUAAGAUGUGAAAGCCCUGGGCUUAACCUGGGAAGUGCAUCUUAAACUGCCUAACUAGAGUAUGGUAGAGGGUAGUGGAAUUUCCGGUGUAGCGGUGAAAUGCGUAGAGAUCGGAAGGAACGCCAGUGGUGAAGACGACUACCUGGACCAAUACUGACACCGAGGCGCGAAAGCGUGGGGAUCAAACAGG